UGUCUCCUAUAGUGGAGACCGUAUCCACAUAUUUCAAUGUUUGGGUUAGGACUUUCAGUUGCAGAUACUUGAUGACUGCCAUAUCGAUAGUUCUGUCCAUUUUUGGUGAUUUCAAUGGGUAGGUUCACAAGAUUGUCUGGUACAAAUACAAUAAUAACACUUCAGCUGCAGGUCUUAUGUCUAUGAUUCAUUCAAUGAUUCUACUUGUGGUGGUAAAAGCCAAUUAAAUCUCUCCUCUUCAGAUCUAGAACUUUUCAGCCAGCUGUUGUAUUAUAGUGUAUCCACACAAAGAAAAAUUAACACAGAGAAAAAUCAUUAUUACAUAAUAAAUAUAUAAAAUGACAAUAAAUGAUGUGGUAUUCAUAUUUCAAUCAGAAGACGGAGAAAAAUGGGGUUUAAGUCCACUCGACAGAAACUAGGUAUUUUGGCAUUAACACAUGGUCCAAUUUUAUUUCAAUAAUUUGCUUGUGCGUAUGGGUCAUUAGCAAUGGAAGGAAACUGGAGUUCGCAGAGAAAACCCUCGAAGGAUGAACGUGCUACCCUACUCCUUGCCACGUACAACUGGGGAUUUGAAACCACACCAGUUCACUAAAUGGCAGACCUUAUGAUACAGCGCGCACAUACUAACCAUUCACCCCCCCCCCCUUAUUUCAAACAACAAAAUUAAAUGUAUUGAUACAAAUAUAUAUCUAUGGAUACAAAUAUAUCUGUACAAAUGUAUAUAGAUAGAAUAAUCGUAUAGAUAAAGAAAAAUUAAAAUCCCCGGCUACAAUCCAACCAGGGAAUAGCGGGAGUGUAGACGAUCUGGGACCUAGCUCUCCAAACAAAUUACGCUCCUGAAGCAAAAAGAAAGAGUAAAUCGGUGCUGCCUGUUGUGUGUAUUAUAUGUAAAAAACGUGACAGAUUUGUCACUGUUGGAGAAAAUAGGAAGAAGGGUGUAUUAACACAGACUCAGACCCAAACAGGCUCAGGCCAACUGUUGAAAGCUGCUGAAUUGAAAGAGGAUGAAGAUAUUUUAAGGCAUAUCAGAGGGCAAGAUUGUGUGGCCAUUGAGGUCAGAUAUCACCAAAAAUGUUAUAGGCAAUAUACAUGUACUGAAUUUCUUAGACAGUUAUCAGAAAGCAAAGAUGACUAGCCCUCCGUCGAAUAUUAAACCACAUACAAUAUAUUCUGUGAAGAUGUCAUAAGAGAAAGAAUCAUAAAUGGCCAGCAAAGUUGUCUUGUACAGAGAGAGAGAGAAAGAGAAAUGGGGUUUAACGUCCACUCAACACAAACCGUAUCCACAUAUUUCAAUGUUUGGGUUAGGACUUUCAGUUGCAGAUACUUGAUGACUGCCAUAUCGAUAGUUCUGUCCAUUUUUGGUGAUUUCAGUGGGUAGGUUCACAAGAUUGUCUGGUACAAAUACAAUAAUAACACUUCAGCUGCAGGUCUUAUGUCUAUGAUUCAUUCAAUGAUUCUACUUGUGGUGGUAAAAGCCAAUUAAAUCUCUCCUCUUCAGAUCUAGAACUUUUCAGCCAGCUGUUGUAUUAUAGUGUAUCCACACAAAGAAAAAUUAACACAGAGAAAAAUCAUUAUUACAUAAUAAAUAUAUAAAAUGACAAUAAAUGAUGUGGUAUUCAUAUUUCAAUCAGAAGACGGAGAAAAAUGGGGUU